GCAGGCUUAACACAUGCAAGUCGAACGCCCCGCAAGGGGAGUGGCAGACGGGUGAGUAACGCGUGGGAACAUACCCUUUCCUGCGGAAUAGCUCCGGGAAACUGGAAUUAAUACCGCAUACGCCCUACGGGGGAAAGAUUUAUCGGGGAAGGAUUGGCCCGCGUUGGAUUAGCUAGUUGGUGGGGUAAAGGCCUACCAAGGCGACGAUCCAUAGCUGGUCUGAGAGGAUGAUCAGCCACAUUGGGACUGAGACACGGCCCAAACUCCUACGGGAGGCAGCAGUGGGGAAUAUUGGACAAUGGGCGCAAGCCUGAUCCAGCCAUGCCGCGUGAGUGAUGAAGGCCUUAGGGUUGUAAAGCUCUUUCACCGAUGAAGAUAAUGACGGUAGUCGGAGAAGAAGCCCC
rnacentral:rRNA from 1 species